rnacentral:lncRNA from 1 species
GGGCCUUAGCUUACUCUCGCAGGAAUGAGACUAGAAGGAGCAGACCCAUCACAGGACUCAGGAAAGGGGCUCUCCGUGGUAGCAGGAGCCCAGUCCCUCAGGGGAAGUAGGGGGCUGCCUGAAGCGCUGGUAAGCCUCAGCGGCAGAAUCCGAACCUAGACAGUGGGGCUCCAGAAGAUUCCAGUAAGUCUGUGACCUUAAACCACUAAAUUACGCAACUCCUGAUGCACAGUAGACUCUCAUCCUCAUAGGUGUAGCAGAUUUCUGUUAACAGAAUUAUACAGACUUGAUAAAUUUGGCACCUCCUAAAGACAAUAAAAAAGCUAAGUUGAGAAGAAUCCAACUUAUUUCACGGAGGGACCUAUACACAGUUAACUUAAGCACAAAUAUAUAUUCAACAGCCACUAAGCAUGCCGGUCCACUUUGGCGUUAACUACGAAACCUUUGUCACCAGGGCACUGAUGAACCUCUCAGCCAAGUGAAAUCAUUAUCUGGGCACUGACCCUGUCUUCAACUGUGUCAAACGCUAGUGAUGUUCAAGUGGAAGAGCACGGAGAAUUGUCCCUUGGAUUUGUUAAUGUAGUAGUGACCUUCUCAAGAGCAGCCUCAUCUGAAAGGUGUUGGCAAAGCCUUGAUGGCAGUGUGUUCCAGAGAGAAUUUUCCAUUUGAAUCAAGUGAAAGGUUAAAGAUUGGGGCCUUCGUUAGCUGUAUCUCUAGCUCUUUAUUUCGUUUAGUUAUAUUUUAUUCCUUUGCUCCUGCUUGAAUCUGUGCAAAGGUUGGAGAUGCUGUUCUGCAGACGCCUCGGCUGCAGUUGCCUUCGCAUGACGGGGACCCGCUCUCUGCAGCAGAGUGAUGAGACUACUGGAGUAUGAGCUGAGAACAGCUGGGCUCCGGAGGGAGUCUCUCACCGUUUAACCAAAGGUCACCCCUGCAGCCCUUCCUGUACCUGCCUGCGGAGAUGUGAGAAAGCAGGCAGCCCAGCAAGUACAGACAGCUUGACAAUGACCUAGGGCCCAAGGAUGUGGUUGGUGGGGGUUGGGGGAGGGACAGACACAAGAAGGGAGGGGGGCAGGUGAAUUUUUCAGAGCUUCCAAGAACAAUCUGAACAGAAGUUAAAGCUCUGAAGAAGGGGCCAGGAGAAAACCAAAUGGGACCUGGCAGAAUCAGGCUUGGACUGGAGCUGUGUGUUGUCUUACCAUGACCCUCUGCUCUCCCAGCUACAGUGUCUUCAGUUAUGAAAGGAGGCAACUGGCCUCUAUGACCGUGAAGGUCCCUUAUGGUGCUCUGAGCUGAUCUCACAUGACUUGCCAUGUCUGCACCUGGAAUCCAAACCUGUGAACCCCUGGCUGCCAAAGUGGAGCACGUGAACCUAACUGCUAUGCCACCAAGCUCGCCCAUGAGAGCAAUUUUUAAAAAAUUUUUUUUGUUUUACUUCCUGACAAAUAGGAAAGAUUGUUUCAGAAAUGAAGUUUAUUUUGGAGCCCCAUACAAAGAAUAAUAACAUGAAACUGUCUUUCCAUUCCUCUUUUAAUAUGUCUCUGCCAGGCUUUUUGAAUAUUUAACGUGCUUUCCUGUGACAUUUUAGAAAUUUUCAUUAAGGGCAUAUGGUUUAAAGCUUAAAAGCCAGGUUUUAGCAUCAGAUGGAUCUGAAUUGAAGUUCUUUCAUGGCCAUUUGUUAGCUGUGUGACCAAAGGCAAAUUAGGCAGCGCCUCUGAACCCCUGUUGUCUCAAACAUAAAUUGGGGAUAAUACAAAUACCUUUCUCAUGGGUUUCUGUGGGGAUUAAGUGAGAAAAAUGAGUGUUAAGAGCCUGGCAUGCGGUCUGGCACAUAGUAUGAACUCACUAGCUGCUCUCACCACCACCACCACCACCUGUGAAGUAGGAAAGGCCAAAGAGAAUCAACCCAUAUUGCAGAUAGAGAAACCAGAAUCCAUAUUUGACUGGCCAGAAACAGCAAGAGAACCGAGUUGCACCCGCUCGUCAAUUAAGCUGUCUUUAUUUAUUAGCUUCCUUCCCCCAUUGUGAACGUAAACCACAAAAGCAUCCAAACCCUGCUUUGGAAGAGUGUUGGAGUGGAUGGAGGGGCUUCGCCUCAGUGGGAGCAUCCAGGAGGAGGGAGAGCUUCCUUUCCACGUGCAACCAGAGGCGGACAUGCCGAAAGCUGAGUGUGACGGUGACACACUGGGUGUGAAUGUUCCAGCAAACAACUUGGAACCAGGGAGAAGAGGGAUGACGCUGUUCCAACUGGGUGGCUGACCGCAGCACUCUGCUCUCAUGGCAGAGUAAUCGGCGAGGACGCAACCUUUGUCUGAUUCCCCUGAUAUAGUCUGACCUGGAGCUGGGAGGGUUGGAAUUUUGUUUCCUUCUGUUUGGUUUUUAACGACAAAGAGGGAUGAAUGUGGGUUUGGGAGUGGGGGAAAGAUCCUGAGAGUAAGCGUUCAAAUGGCAGGUUUCAAGAGAACAAAAUUUUUUGCUUAUAUAAUAGCUUGUUCUUAUGUCUACCAAUAAAACAUAUCAAUACUCAAUUAAAUUUAUUGAUAAAUACUGAUAAAAUAAUAUAUAGGGAUUCACUUUGAGUAAUGGCCUACAAAUACUUACUUUUUAUGAUAGUGUACUAUAAUGAUCUACAUUUUCCAAGUUUUAAAAUUGCAGUAUGCUUGUCAAUAAUUUUAUUAGAAUCUUAUAAACUUGGGAUGGCAACUAUUUAUAUUAUCCAAUAUUCUCUUUCAGUCAUUUUCAUUGUGUAGUUAUAUUUUUGUAGACUUGCAAUUAUUGUGUAUAUACUAUUUUGUGUAUAUAUUUUUUCACUUAAUAUUAUUUUCUGAACAAAUUUCCAUAUUUUCC